AGGGUGGCUUGGAGUGUACAAAGUUUAUUUUGAAAACAUAAAUCCAUCUCACUUCAACCAACUUGAUAAAUUAAAAGCCACUUUACAUAUUUUCAUGAGAAACAUUCACUCUCUCUUGGUUUAGUGCAUGCACACAAUUGAAAAGCCACAGUAUUUGAAAAGACUUUUCAAUCUCUCCCACGACCCAUUUUCUUCUAUUCCCAUCUAACCACCAUCUCUCUCAAUCACCUACCAUCACCUAUCAAGUUCCGGCUACAACAAAAUCGUUCAUCUUUCUCACCGCUGCAAUAAAACUUUCAGAUCCGACCACUGCCGUUGUUAAAUCUGUUUUCACCAUCGCACAAAACUCUAUUAUCACAACUCAUCAAACUCAGUCAUAAACUCAACAAGUAAAAAGGAGUGAAAACGCAAAUACAACAAUUUCAAUCAACAUUUUCAUAUUUAUUUUUAUUUUUCAUCAAUUAGGGAUAUUUACUAGGUACAAUUUAUUUCCCCUCUGCAUCAAAUGGCUCCACCAAAAGGUUCCACUACUACGAUUCUGCUUUUUGAGCUCUCUCAGUCAGACCUUUUUCAGAAUCACUCAGAAAUUAGAAAUGAAACUCUCCUGAAUCUCAAAACCUCUUGCCAGAAUCUUCAACCCCUCGCCGGAAGCUUCAAACCUCCGUCGUUUCUUCCUCUGUUCACGUUAAAAGAUAUUCGUAAUGAGGAGAGGAAACUGAACAAGCUGAUGUAAUUUUUUUCCAUUCUGAAACCUUUUACCUCCGGCCACCGCGCCGGAGAAGCUCAGCCACCGUGAUCUUCAUGUGAGCCGCCGUGAGUUUCUUCAUUUCCACCGUUUUGUUCUUGAUUCAGCUACUAUGUUUGAUUUUAAACAUUACUUUUUUGUCGUUUUGUUUUUAUAUAAUAAAGAUGAGAGAGAUGAAAAGUGUAGUUUACAAGAAAGAGAUCUUUUUUUUUCUUUUCAAAAAAACUGAUACAUCUGUGUAUCAUUAUUGGUUUUUUCUCCCUAAUGAAAGCAAGUAGUACCUCUUCCCUAUGCCAUGGUUCCACGUGAGAUUAAAGAAAGAAGAGAGUUACUUUUCAGUCUCUUUUUCUUUUCAAGUUUGUACCGUUUUAUUUACUUUAACAAUGUUCUUUUUGUUUUAAUUCCCAUCUAAGUAGUGUCAAUCCCGACGGUGUCCCGCGUGAUAUCAUUUUAGUUUUAGUAUUCAAAAUAUUAUAUGGUUGUUGUUAUUAAAUUUAUGUAAGUUUUUCUUUUAAAAUUUUAGUAAUAUAUUAAUUAUAAUUAAAACUCUUAUUAAAAUAUAAUAAAUAUAUUAAAAUUCCAAUUUAUCAAAAAGUGUUAGUGUUUUUUAUGUGUGUCCAUUUCAGAUUAUAUCAACAGCAGACUCUAUAAAUUAUAAGUUUUAUUUAAAAAAAAUGUUAAAAUCUAAAAACUUUCUUAGUACUUUUGAUUACAAUGAUACAGGACAUGUCCGAUAAUAAUAAUUUUGAUUACAAUAAUACUUUCUUAAACUUUUCCAUUCUUCUUAAUGACUCCGCUUUUGGAAAGAUUUUGUGUAAAAAUUAUAGUGAUUUGGAAUUGAUGAUGAAGAUAUGAUGGUUUUGUGUUGUUUUUGGAAAGAUUGGUUUGUUCACUAACCAAAGAUGAGAACGUGUAUCUGAUUUUUAUUUUUAAUAAUAAUAAUAAUAAUAAUAAAUAUACAAAAAAAUCUAUCUAAUAAAAACAAGAUAAACUCUAAAAAUAAAAAACACGUGAUAUCUAAUUUACAUUUCUUUGAUUUUUCUCUUAAUAAUAAUUUUUUUUAAAUAAUAAGAUUUUUCUUACUUUUUUCAUAAUUUUUAAUAAUAAUUUUUUUUAUAAUUUAUAAUAAUAAAUUUUUCCGAAAUAAAUUAGUAAUAAACAAU